UGAGGAAUAUUGGGCAAUGCCCGCAAGGGUGACCCAGCAACGCCGCGUGGAGGAUGAAUGUCGUAAGAUUGUAAACUCCUGUUAGAGGGGAAGAAUAGUACCGGUUGGACCGGUAUAUGACUGUACCCUCAGAGAAAGCCCCGGCUAACUACGUGCCAGCAGCCGCGGUAAUACGUAGGGGGCAAGCGUUGUCCGGAUUUACUGGGUGUAAAGGGCGCGCAGGCGGGAUAAAAAGUCAGUGGUGAAAUCCUACAGCUUAACUGUAGAAAUGCCUUGGAUACUUUUAUUCUUGAGUUCGGGAGAGAGAGACGGAAUUCCAGGUGUAGUGGUGAAAUACGUAGAUAUCUGGAAGGACACCAGUUGCGAAGGCGGUCUCUUGGUCCGACACUGACGCUGAGGCGCGAAAGCGUGGGAAGCAAACA
rnacentral:rRNA from 1 species